UUUCCUUUUCUUGACAGGGAAAGGGUGAGCGGUCCUCCUCCCUGCUGUGUACAGAGGCACAGGGAAAGGGGCUCCAGUGUCAUGCCUUCAGUGCUAGCAGGUUCCUCAAACAAAGGGACACAG
ensembl:snoRNA